AUUGAACGCUGGCGGCAGGCCUAACACAUGCAAGUCGAGCGGCAGCGGAGAGUAGCUUGCUACUUUGCCGGCGAGCGGCGGACGGGUGAGUAAUGUCUGGGAAACUGCCUGAUGGAGGGGGAUAACUACUGGAAACGGUAGCUAAUACCGCAUAACGUCGCAAGACCAAAGAGGGGGACCUUCGGGCCUCUUGCCAUCAGAUGUGCCCAGAUGGGAUUAGCUAGUAGGUGGGGUAACGGCUCACCUAGGCGACGAUCCCUAGCUGGUCUGAGAGGAUGACCAGCCACACUGGAACUGAGACACGGUCCAGACUCCUACGGGAGGUAGCAGUGGGGAAUAUUGCACAAUGGGCGCAAGCCUGAUGCAGCCAUGCCGCGUGUAUGAAGAAGGCCUUCGGGUUGUAAAGUACCUUCAGCGGGGAGGAAGGUGCUGAGGUUAAUAACCUCAGCAAUUGACGUUACCCGCAGAAGAAGCACCGGCUAACUCCGUGCCAGCAGCCGCGGUAAAAC
rnacentral:rRNA from 1 species